CCUACGGGUGGCAGCAGUGAGGAAUAUUGGUCAAUGGGCGCGAGCCUGAACCAGCCAAGUCGCGUGAGGGAAGACGGUCCUAUGGAUUGUAAACCUCUUUUGUCGGGGAGCAAAAGACGCCACGUGUGGCGUUCCGAGAGUACCCGAAGAAAAAGCAUCGGCUAACUCCGUGCCAGCAGCCGCGGUAAUACGGAGGAUGCGAGCGUUAUCCGGAUUUAUUGGGUUUAAAGGGUGCGCAGGCGGAAGAUAAAGUCAGCGGCAAAAUUGAGAGGCUCAACCUCUUCGAGCCGUUGAAACUGGUUGUCUUGAGUGAGCGAGAAGUAUGCGGAAUGCGUGGUGUAGCGGUGAAAUGCAUAGAUAUCACGCAGAACUCCGAGUGCGAAGGCAGCAUACCGGCGCUCAACUGACGCUCAUGCACGAAAGUGUGGGUAUCGAACAGGAUUAGAUACCCCUGUAGUC
rnacentral:rRNA from 1 species